CUGAUUUUUAGGGCAAUUAUUUCUAUACUCCGUAAAUUGGAAAACAAAGUCGAAAAAUUUGGCAAACUCGCAUACUUAAUUUCAAUAAGAAAAUCAUUGUAUUCACUUGAAUCCCCUUUGAUCUUUAAAUAAGUAAUUUGUCUUUAACUAACUUACAUUGGUAAAACUUUUCGCUAUUUUCAUAUUAGCAAUGUUGUGGGUUCUGAUUGUUGCGAAUCAUCAUUCUUUUCUUGGCUCCAUUCGUGAGUGGCUCUGUUUGGUCUUUUCAUCAUCUCUUUUCAUCACGUCAUCAGUUCAUCAUAUCACCUU